AUAGCGGAGGAAAAGAAACUAACAAGGAUUCCCCUAGUAACUGCGAGUGAAGCGGGAAAAGCUCAAAUUUAAAAUCUGGCGGUCUUUGGCCGUCCGAGUUGUAAUCUAGAGAAGUGUUAUCCGCGCUGGACCGUGUACAAGUCUCCUGGAAUGGAGCGUCAUAGAGGGUGAGAAUCCCGUCUUUGACACGGACUGCCAGGGCUUUGUGAUGCGCUCUCAAAGAGUCGAGUUGUUUGGGAAUGCAGCUCAAAAUGGGUGGUAAAUUCCAUCUAAAGCUAAAUAUUGGCGAGAGACCGAUAGCGAACAAGUACCGUGAGGGAAAGAUGAAAAGAACUUUGGAAAGAGAGUUAAACAGUACGUGAAAUUGCUGAAAGGGAAACGCUUGAAGUCAGUCGCGUUGGCCGGGGAUCAACCUUGCUUUUGCUGGGCGUACUUUCCGGUCGACGGGUCAGCAUCAAUUUUGAUCGUUGGAUAAAGGUUAGGGGAAUGUGGCAUCUUCGGAUGUGUUAUAGCCCUUGGUCGCAUACAACGGUUGGGAUUGAGGAACUCAGCACGCCGCAAGGCCGGGUACUUGUACCACGUUCGUGCUUAGGAUGCUGGCAUAAUGGCUUUAAUCGACCCGUCUUGAAACACGGACCAAGGAGUCUAACAUGCCUGCGAGUGUUUGGGUGGAAAACCCGAGCGCGUAAUGAAAGUGAAAGUUGAGAUCCCUGUCGUGGGGAGCAUCGACGCCCGGACCAGACCUUUUGUGACGGAUCCGCGGUAGAGCAUGUAUGUUGGGACCCGAAAGAUGGUGAACUAUGCCUGAAUAGGGUGAAGCCAGAGGAAACUCUGGUGGAGGCUCGUAGCGAUUCUGACGUGCAAAUCGAUCGUCAAAUUUGGGUAUAGGGGCGAAAGACUAAU
rnacentral:rRNA from 1 species